rnacentral:rRNA from 1 species
UUGAACGCCGGCGGCAGGCCUAACCCAUGCCAGUCGAGCGGAUGAAGGGAGCUUGCUCCUGGAUUCAGCGGCGGACGGGUGAGUAAUGCCUAGGAAUCUGCCUGGUAGUGGGGGAUAACGUCCGGAAACGGGCGCUAAUACCGCAUACGUCCUGAGGGAGAAAGUGGGGGAUCUUCGGACCUCACGCUAUCAGAUGAGCCUAGGUCGGAUUAGCUAGUUGGAGGGGUAAAGGCCUACCAAGGCGACGAUCCGUAACUGGUCUGAGAGGAUGAUCAGUCACACUGGAACUGAGACACGGUCCAGACUCCUACGGGAGGCAGCAGUGGGGAAUAUUGGACAAUGGGCGAAAGCCUGAUCCAGCCAUGCCGCGUGUGUGAAGAAGGUCUUCGGAUUGUAAAGCACUUUAAGUUGGGAGGAAGGGCAGUAAGUUAAUACCUUGCUGUUUUGACGUUACCAACAGAAUAAGCACCGGCUAACUUCGUG